AAUGCCCUGUGAAGACGGGAGCCGCACUGCCGGAAACCAGGAGGCCUAGAACAGAUCCCCUCCUGGGACCUCAGAGGGAGCACAACCCUACCGAUGCCUCAGUCCAGACCCGCAGCCUCCGGAGCUGUGGGACACGCCCUGCCUGCUGGACUCUCACUUCAUCAUAGAGUUAUGGACGGUUACUCACAAGACGGCUGUGUCCUCUCUGCGGUUCACACCGAACACCAAAGGAAUGUAGCAGGCACCUACAGUGGCUCCCAGCUCAACUGGUGUGAACGUCUUCUAUCCGGAAGCGUGAGUCCGAGCGUGGCAGUUGUGUGGUGGAACAGGUUUUCUCAAAAGCUGCUUGUUAUCAUCAAAGUCCCUUCAUGUCUCCCAAGACGACAUGACCCGAUACGCAGCCCAGCAGCCUAUUAAUGGGGUUCUUCACACAGA